CAGAAAACCAGACUUUCCAGCACUGACAGGAUUAACGGCCUCGCACGUCUGUGGUUGUACAGGAACCACAGACACUCACGACGCAGCCUUUCAGUGACCCGGGAAGGUAUAAACUUCUACAAAGGUGAAGAAACUGUGUCUGUGACUCUGAGAGCAGAGGUUUGGGCCGAUGCAUACAGCAGCCACGAGGCUUUGUGGUUUGUCGUUCCUGAAGAUCAUUUCAGCUCCACUACACGCCAGCAUGAGAGUGAAAAUCAAACCUAAACAGAGAUUUCAGAAAAUCCCGGCACUCCCACUUUUCCUCUGAAUGACACACCUGUGAGGAAAUUAGAUUUCACAACAAGCUGACUGUGUGCAGAAGCUCAGGCUUGCCAGAUGUCACAACCUGUGGAAUAACGGCUUUGUACGUCGGCCUUUGUACAGCAUGUUAUCUUGACUUCAUAAGAAAUCUGUAGGCGUAGAAGUUUCCAGUGACACUUGUGGACUGAAGGUUGAUGUUAUGAAACUCCGAAAGACACAAGAUCCCUUCAUCUCUACUACAUGCCAGCAUCAUGGUGAUAAUAACAAAAACAAAGGCAAACAGAUCUUCAGCUGUUGGCAGCAGUCGCCUCUCUUCCUUCUUGUUUAUCCUGAGUUGAUCCACAGUGACAAAGAUAAAACAGUUGAAGACUUUGACCAGAACAAAGUGCCAGGAAACAGGUGUUUGAUGUACUGUGUACCACGUAAAAAACGUGCUAUAUGGAUAUCAUAAAAGAUGAAUGGGUAAAUCUGUUUCUGUGUUCUUCUUCAGUGUCUGUGUCAUGGUUCUGGGUCAUUUGAUCCAGCUAUUUGAGUUUAUUGCACUUUUAUGAUUCCUGAGCUGUUAUAAUUCAGUUUUCCCUCCCUCUUUACCCUCUGUGGGUCGUUGUGUUUCGUCUCCCUUUUCUGUGUACAUGUUCCAUUUGACAUCUCCAUGUCUCCACUGUCUGUCGUGUGUGUCCAUGUAUGUUCUCCCCAACCCGUCAUGUAUCACUCUCUCUUUCGCAGUGUCCCUGUGUCUCUUCUCUCUUAACUGUCCCUGUGUUCCCCCAUGUUGUGUUUCAUCUUUCUGCCUCCUCAGUCCAUCUUGUCCCCAUGUUAGUUUCUUUCGUCCAGCCCGUGUCAAGCCAUAUUUCUUAGUCUGCUUCUUAGUUUGUUUCCUUUUUAAUUUUGACAGUCUCACGUCCGGUGUUCAGUGUGUUCAGUUUUGUUUCCUCCUGUCUUGUCGCACCUAAUUCCUUCCUGCUGUGUUCUGCAUGUGUUUCCACUUCCCUCAUAUAUAUAUAUUGUAUAUUGUAUUUUAUUGUAUGUGUAUAUAUUGUGUCUGUUUUCCCUUUGUCCCUCCUCAGGUCAUCUGUAUCUCUUGUCAAUAUUUCAGGGUUUCAGUUUUAGGUUUUUCUCAGUGUUAGAAACCCUA